CACGUAGGCGGGUUAUCAAGCGUCCUGUGAAAGCCCUCGGCUUAACCGAGGAAUUGCUUGGCGAACUGAUAACCUUGAGGUAGGUAGGGGCGAGUGGAACUCUUGGUGGAGCGGUGGAAUGCGUAGAUAUCAAGAGGAACGCCAGAGGCGAAGGCGACUCGCUGGGCCUGUCCUGACGCUCAGGUGCGAAAGCCAGGGGAGCGAACG
rnacentral:rRNA from 1 species